AAAAAAAAUAGAAGUUGACGACUAAAAAAAUUCAAAAAUAUAAUUAAAACUAUUUUGACAAAAUAUAUAAACGUUAAUGGACUGAAUUUGUUAUUAAACCUUAAAUUAAUAAAUAAGGGAAGAAGGUUUUUGUCGACCAGCCUGAUAUGUUAGGUGACUUUUUUGGCUUAAAAGUUAAAACUGUUAAAAAAAAACACACGUACACACAAACACACGGUACGCCGCCCGUACUUUCCUCUGCUUUCUC
rnacentral:lncRNA from 1 species